rnacentral:rRNA from 1 species
AAUGAACGCUGGCGGCAGGCCUAACACAUGCAAGUCGAACGAGUAGCGGCCGGGUGGGUAAUGUCUGGGAAACAGCCUGCAGGAGGGGGAUAACUACUGGAAACGGUAGCUGAUAACGCAUAUCAUCAGAUGUGCCCAAAUGGGAUUAGCCUGUUGGUGGGGUAACGGCUGAAAAGGGCGACGAUCCCUCGCUGGUCUGCGAGGAUGACCAGCCAAACGGGAACUGAGACACGGCCCAGACUCCUACGGGAGGCAGCGGUGGGGAAUCUUGCAGAAUGGGCGCAAGCCUGAUGAAGCCAUGCCGCGUGUAUGAAGAAGGCCUUCGGGUUGUAAAGUACUUUCAGCGGGGAGGCGUUACCCGCAGAAGAAGCACCGGCUAACUCCGUGCCAGCAGCCGCGGUAAUUC